rnacentral:rRNA from 1 species
GACGAACGCUGGCGGCGUGCCUAAUACAUGCAAGUAGAACGCACAGUUUAUACCGUAGCUUGCUACACCAUAGACUGUGAGUUGCGAACGGGUGAGUAACGCGUAGGUAACCUGCCUGGUAGCGGGGGAUAACUAUUGGAAACGAUAGCUAAUACCGCAUAAUAUUGAUUAUUGCAUGAUAAUUAAUUGAAAGGUGCAAUUGCACCACUACCAGAUGGACCUGCGUUGUAUUAGCUAGUAGGGGAGGUAACGGCUCACCUAGGCCACGAUACAUAGCCGACCUGGGAGGGUGGUCGGCCACACUGGGACUGGGACAAGGGCCAGGCUCCUACGGGAGGCAGCAGUAGGGAAUCUUCGGCAAUGGACGAAAGUCUGACCGAGCAACGCCGGGUGAGUGAAGAAGGUUUUCGGAUCGUAAAGCUCUGUUGUAAGGGAAGAACGGGUGUGAGAGUGGAAAGUUCACACUGUGACGGUAUCUUACCAGAAAGGGACGGCUAACUACGUG